UACGGAGGUGGCAAGCGUUGUUCGGAAUUACUGGGCGUAAAGGGCGCGUAGGCGGCCGCCUAAGUCAGACGUGAAAUCCCCAGGCUUAACUUGGGAACUGCGUCUGAUACUGGGUAGCUUGAGUUCGGGAGAGGAAUGUGGAAUUCCAGGUGUAGCGGUGAAAUGCGUAGAUAUCUGGAGGAACACCGGUGGCGAAGGCGGCAUUCUGGACCGAAACUGACGCUGAGGAGCGAAAGCCAGGGGAGCAAACGGG
rnacentral:rRNA from 1 species